AUGGGCUUGCAUUGCAUGGGUGAAGAUUCAGGACGUGGCCCACGGGAGGUUUUCACAUUGUUGCAGCUUAUCCCCACGCCCCAUCUGGCCGAGCGCUGGAACCUGCCUGGCUCCUUGGAGACAGAGGAAUGCAAAGCCGCAACCAUGAUGGAAGCAGCAGCCCAGCCACUGCAUUAUGAUAUCUGGCUCUGACCCACUUUCUCCCGCUGCUGACGUCACGCCGCUGAACCGUCUUUUUCAAUCCCAUGCAUGCGGACCAAACGCUUCCCCUCUUCGGAUGCUUUGGCGCUUUUCGCUCCUCGUAUCUCCGGACACAUGCCAUGCUCGCAGGCUGAAUUGCUGAAUUUGCCGUUGAUGCCAAACAGUGCAACCACCUGGACAGAAUCGGCGAGGGUCUAAAUUUAGCUGCAAGCAGAAGCUGACAAGGCCUCUUUAGUCUUUUUAUUUUUUGUGUGCCACGCUAACAGACACACGCAAUACAGUACAGGUAAUGGCCGACGCAGGGUAUUUUCAAGGUUUUCCUCCACGUUUCUCUUGCCACAGCCUCUUGGUUUCUAUCAGUGCUGCCAUUUGAUGAGUCAGAGGACAUUUCCACAUUAAGUGCUUUGGCCCAAAUAGGUUAUCUCCAUUUUUAGCUAAGGGAAGAGAUGGGUGCUUGGAUGGGGGUGGGAGAAAAGUAUAAAAAUUAUUCGAGACCACUGUUUCUCAGGAGAUUGUACUGCCUAAAUAAAUGCAACCAUUCAAAUUGUGAUCAUGAUUCCAUUACUUGCACAGCCCUGCACUGUGUGUUAAAAAAAAUCUGUUAAGUCAUGAUGCAUAGAGCGCCCCUCUGCAUCCAUAAUGAACGCAAACCAUCCAGUCCCCAAAAGUGUCUCUCUUGCGUGACUUGAUCUACGUAAAUGUUGAUUCUUCAUUUGCAUUAUUUCUCAUAUGUACGUGUCUCUUUGCAAAAGCGUCUUUGGCAAAUAUAAUUGUGUAUUCUGCAGGCAUAGGAUCUUAAGCAGUGG
rnacentral:lncRNA from 1 species